ensembl:lncRNA
CCAUGCUUUACCUGAGGGCCCUGCAGGUGAGACUUGCGGAACAUGGCUAUGACGGGAACUUCAGGCCCCAGCCCUGCCCUCCAGAGGAUCUAUUUUGGGUCAGCAGAUCCUGCUUCAAAUCCCACCCAGGAAGGACUCGAAGUUUCUGCUGGCGUGGUUUCUGCCUCCUCUUUCUAACUGUGACUUUUCCGACUGCAGCAGGGGUUUCUCAGUUUGGACAUCUCUACUAUGAUCUUGAUGUGAUAAGUUAUUCUAUCUUUUUCAGAACUAAAACCCCCAACAGAUGGAAGAUGCUACCUAAUGAAGCUACCUAAUGAAGCAUUCUUCA